GAUGAAGAACGUAGCGAAAUGCGAUACUUGGUGUGAAUUGCAGAAUCCCGUGAACCAUCGAGUCUUUGAACGCAAGUUGCGCCCGAAGCCAUCAGGUUGAGGGCACGUCUGCCUGGGCGUCACAUAUCGUUGCCCAAUGCCUAUUGCAGUGCAAUAGGAAUUUCUAGGGCGAAUGAUGGCUUCCCGUGAGCGUUGUUGCCUCGCGGUUGGUUGAAAAUCGAGUCCUUGAUAGGGUGUGCCAUGGUAGAUGGUGGUCGAGUUAGAACGAUACCGAUCAUGUGCAUGCUCCCCAAAAUAUGGCCUCUAUGACCCACACGCGUCUUUUGACGCUCAUGACGAGACCUCAGGUCAGGCGGGGCUACCCGCUGAAUUUAAGCAUAUCAAUAAGCAGGA
rnacentral:misc_RNA from 1 species